rnacentral:rRNA from 1 species
CAGCCGCCGCGGUAAUACAGAGGGUGCAAGCGUUAAUCGGAUUUACUGGGCGUAAAGGGCGCGUAGGUGGUUAUUUAAGUGAGAUGUGAAAGCCCCGGGCUUAACCUGGGAACUGCAUCUUAUACUGGGUAACUGGAGUGCAGUAGAGGGUAGUGGAAUUUCCGGUGUAGCGGUGAAAUGCGUAGAUAUCGGAAGGAACACCAGUGGCGAGGGCGGCUACCUGGACUGAGACUGACACUGAGGCGCGAGAGCGUGGGGAGCAAACAGGAUUAGAUACCCCCGUAGUCCCUGUCUCUUAUAC